GACAGAGGCCCCGAGCGUUAGGCGGAAUCACUGGGCUUAAAGCGUGUGUAGGCGGAUCGUUAAGUGUCUUGUGAAAUCCCACGGCUCACCCGUGGAACUGCUGGGCAUACUGGCGAUCUUGGGCCAUUCAGGGGCGACUGGAACAAGCGGUGGAGCGGUGAAAUGCGUAGAUAUCGCUUGGAACGCCAAGGUGAAAACAGGUCGCUGGGGAUGCGCCGACGCUGAGACACGAAAGCCAGGG
rnacentral:rRNA from 1 species